UACGGGGGGGGCAAGCGUUGUUCGGAAUUACUGGGCGUAAAGGGCUCGUAGGCGGCCAACUAAGUCAGACGUGAAAUCCCUCGGCUUAACCGGGGAACUGCGUCUGAUACUGGUUGGCUUGAAUCCGGGAGAGGGAUGUGGAACUCCGAAUGUAGAGGUGAAAUUCGUAGAUAUUCGGAAGAACACCAGUGGCGAAGGCGGCCCACUGGCCCGGUACUGACGCUGAGGUGCGAAAGCGUGGGGAGCAAACAGG
rnacentral:rRNA from 1 species